CACUGAGCUACGUUAGUGUCAACGUGCACCUGACCACAAUGUGUCGCCUCACUGCCUUUGUUUUGUUCCUUGCGCUUUCGUACGCGACUUGCAGCAUUAUCACUGACCGAGGCACGAAGGAUAUCCUCCUGCCUGAUGCAGAAAUAGAAGACAACAGCAUCGUCGUACCUGAGGUCCUGCCUAUCGAAGGAAUAGCACAAUUCAGUGCGCCAGACGCGAAGUGCGCCAAAGUUGGCGAAUUCUGCAUCAACCAUAAGGACUGUUGCAGUAACUCCUGUUUGACUUUCAUGAGGAGAUGUGUUUCAUAGUUUGAUCAAAGCCCAAUCUUGUGAGCUAAAAAUAUGAUGUACUUGCUUUGAAUCAGCUAUGGCAUUUUGUAACCCUAGAAGGAAGUGGAUGAUUCAGGUCAACAAAUAUUCAUCGUUGUAAAGUGACUAAUCUGUGUAUUGUAAUUACAGUAUUUAUCAUCAAUUAUGUAUUAAAGUUUAUUUGUAUCAAU